rnacentral:rRNA from 1 species
UAGAUCAAAACCAAACGGCCCCUCGUGGGCUGUCCCCUGGUGAUUCUGAAUAACUUUGGGCUGAUCGCACGGCUUCACGCUGGCGACGUAUCCUUCUAAGGUGUGCCCUAUCAACUGUCGACUGUGGCAUAGACGCCCACAGUGGUUUUGACGGGUAACGGGGAAUCAGGGUUCGAUUCCGGAGAGGGAGCCUGAGAGACGGCUACCACUUCUAAGGAAGGCAGCAGGCACGCAAAUUACCCACUGGUCGAAGACCGAGGUAGUGACGAAAAAUAACGAUACCGGACUCAUCCGAGGCCCGGUAAUCGGAAUGAGUACACUUUAAAUCCUUUAACGAGGAACCAUUGGAGGGCAAGUCUGGUGCCAGCAGCCGCGGUAAUUCCAGCUCCAAUAGCGUAUAUUAAAGUUGUUGCGGUUAAAAAGCUCGUAGUUGGAUUUCGGCGGGCAGGGGGCGGUUCGAUAUUUGUCGCUACUGCCCCAUUUGCCCGUGUCUGUUUUGGCGGAGGUCGCGGGGUGCUCUUAAUCGGGUGUCCCGGGGCGCCGUCAGGUUUACUUUUGAAAAAAUUAGAGUGCUCA